AUGGGCGAGAGCCUGAACCAGCCAAGUAGCGUGCAGGAUGACGGCCCUAUGGGUUGUAAACUGCUUUUGUAUGGGGAUAAAGUCAAUCACGUGUGAUUGUUUGCAGGUACCAUACGAAUAAGGACCGGCUAAUUCCGUGCCAGCAGCCGCGGUAAUACGGAAGGUCCGGGCGUUAUCCGGAUUUAUUGGGUUUAGAGGGAGCGUAGGCUGGAGAUUAAGUGUGUUGUGAAAUGUAGACGCUCAACGUCUGACUUGCAGCGCAUACUGGUUUCCUUGAGUACGCACAACGUUGGCGGAAUUCGUCGUGUAGCGGUGAAAUGCUUAGAUAUGACGAAGAACUCCGAUUGCGAAGGCAGCUGACGGGAGCGCAACUGACGCUGAAGCUCGAAGGUGCGGGUAUCGAACAGGAUUAGAUACCCUGGUAGUCCGCACAGUAAACGAUGGAUGCCCGCUGUUGGUACCUGGUAUCAGCGGCUAAGCGAAAGCAUGAAGCAUCCCACCUGGGGAGUACGCCGGCAACGGUGAAACUCAAAGGAAUUGACGGGGGCCCGCACAAGCGGAGGAACAUGUGGUUUAAUUCGAUGAUGCGCGAGGAACCUUACCCGGG
rnacentral:rRNA from 1 species